UACCUUUUUCUAGGCUUCGCCUCUAGAGACGUCGGAGGGUGUUAAGGACCGGUUUUUGUGAAAUUCCGUACGGCCUCACAUCCAAAUUAUCUAGGCCCUUUUUCUCUAAUGGCCUAGCAUCCGUCGCGCUUUCCAUGGCUCAACGAAGCAGGUUGGAGGUUCCAGGACUGCAGUUUGCGUUUUGUUCUUAAACACAUUUGGGAAAUUACCUUGACCCUAUCUUAUCUCUCUUGAAGUACUAGACAAAAAGCACCAAAGUUA